UAGGUGUUGUCUAAGGUUUAUGAUUUUAAGUGAAGCACUCGAUUUGAAUGGAUUUUAAAUGGAGUCUCAAUCAAAUGAGUCGCACAAGUAUUGGAAAUAUUAUUGGAGUGAUCAUAGAUAUAGCUCGCAUUUCAUGUUAAAAAAAUGAUUUUGUUUUAGCAAAUUUUGGAAGACUUGAUCUUAUUGGGAGGCCUCUAAGCAACAAAAUUCUGUCAUGAAAAAUUGCCUUGAUUCUCAACCGGAGAAGUUCUGUGGACAAGGCGAGCUAGGUGUUCAAAAAUUCAGUCUGUGCUUCUUUGUUUCAGUUUUUGGUUUGUUUGCUUCUUUCUUUUAAGGGUGUGAAGAAGUUAAAAAACAAUGUGACCACGACGUUAGCAGUGGUAGUGAACUGGUAAUUAAUUGUUUAAUUUAUAGCUUUUGCAUGUUCUUCUGCUUGCUUGCUAAAGCAAUUGUAGGAAACAAAUGAAAUAUAAGUUCUUAUUUUAUAGCUAUAAAGAACCUGUUAUUGCACUUGUGCACAUCAAAUCAGGUUUUACAUUUUAAUGAACAGGGUUUAUAGCUUGUCUUAUAGCUAUAAAAAAACCUGUUAUUCCUUGCAAUUGUUUUGAACAGGGUGUUUUUUUAAUGAUACUUCAGAUUUCUUUGCAGUUACUUGAAAAGGAGGUGAAUGAUAGGGGAACACUUGCAAAUGUUGUUGAGACACAACAGUAUCCUUGAUGAAGAAGCUGGUUCAUGCAAGGGAAAAAUGAGUUCGUUCUCCAGAUGUGUGGGAAAAGAGGGCGAUGAAGUUAGUUUAGAAUUGUGUUGUUACUAUAGUUGAAUGUUGUUUUUAUCAUGAUGGAUACAAUGUAAAUUCUUAAUUUUUA
rnacentral:lncRNA from 1 species